AUGCCGUCCUUGGCCCUUGGCGGGAGGGUGCCUGAAAGACACACGGGACCUCCCUGGACAUGUUUUGCACCUUCCUGUGAAUCCAGUAAAAGGAUAAACAACGAUACCUGCAAACUCCAUGUGCAGAUGUACAUGCGUGUGAUUACCAUCGAACUCCAUGUGUCUGUGUCGUUGCCUGUGGAGGACAUGGUGGCUUCUGCUCUACACAUGUGCGACGGCCUCAACCGGGCCCACAGGACAUGUUCGUCCCCACCUCUAGGAUGGGUGAAGGGGCAGGUUGACCGUGUUCAGUGGGCCUGGUGGUGUCCAGUCUUGCAUCUCCUGCAUCCCCUUGAAGACUUUACUCACCUGUACAGAGGCAGCCCAGAGGUCCACGAGGUGGUGUACCUUUAGUGAAUGAAAUAAGGUCUCUUCUAAACCCAAACUACCGCUCCCCUAUCUCCCCAGAUAAGCCUCCACACCAGGGAAUCGACACUGAUGCAACGCUUCACACCGAUGCACACUGCCACCAGAGUCCCCACAACGUCCCGUCGCUCUUCCCGGGCUCAGGAUCCAGAAUCCGUCCCUGGAGCCAGUUGUCCUGUGGUUCAACCUCCUUCGACCUCAAAGAGCGUUUUGUAUUUUUCCUGUUGUGACCUUGAUCAGUUUAAGGGGACCCUGGUCAGGGUCCAUCUGGAGUUUUUCCACGUCCGCUCGGGGUGCACGGGACAGUAGGGGCUGAACGCCCUUCCCAGUGAGCCACACAAAGAGGCACAGUCUGUCACCUCCUUCCGCAGUGGCCAUGUUAGCCUGGGUCACCUUCUCUACUACGCGUCUUAAGCAUAAAGUCACCACUUUUCCCCUUUUGAAAUUAAUAUAUAUUUUCUGAGGAGACUUUUGAGCUAAUAUCCUGUUUCUUUUUAAAAAGAUUGUAUUUAUUUAUUAGAGAGAGCGAGAGUGAGAGAGAGAGCACAAACAUGGAGAACAGCAGGCAGAGGGAGAAGCAGACCCCCCGCUGAGCAGGGAGCCCGACACGGGGCUGGAUCCCAGGACCCUGGGAUCAAAACCUGAGCCGAAGGCAGACACUUAACCUGCUGAGCCACCCGGGGACCCCUAAUAUCCUGUUUCUAACAGACACUCCACUCCGUGGCUUUAGCGCCCAUUGUCAUCUCCUGCGGGCAUCAACGACCGGCAUGCUGGUCGCCAAAUGGUCAUUUCCUAUUUCCAUCAUUCCUUCUGCAUUUAUUGGUUGGCAUUUUAACUAAAGGAAAAGCUUCCUUCCUCAUGUAUUAUUUAUUUACCUUAUGUAGUCAUUUGUUUGUUUACUCAUGUAUUUCUGUUUUAUUCAGCAAAUGGUAAUGCAUUAUCAUAUAUAAUUAUUUUCAUGCCUAAAUUGUCCUGAAUUUGACCAUGCUAAGCCCCUUCAAGUUGGCUCCUGCGUCCUUUCCAUCCUUUGAAGCCUUUCUUCCUGGCAUAUGUUAUCUUAUCUUGCACUUUCCCUCCCUCAGUCCUGGAAUUUGCCUCUUAUCCAAGGAGUCCUGGUUCCCCUGCUUGGAAGACAGCGAGGAGAAGCCAACCUCUAGAUAGCAGGUGUGCCUAUUGAUUAUGACAGCGGAGCUAGGGAAUAUGUAGCUGUGCAUGCACACAGAUAUGUACACACCAAUACAUCUGUAUCUGUGCUUUCUCUCUUUGUGUUAUGCAACUUUAAAAAAUGAAUUCAGGGGUGCCUGGGUGGCUGAGUCUGUUGAGCAUCUGACUUUUGAUUUCAGCGUAGCACUCAGUGUGGAAUCUGAGACUCUCUUCUUCUCCCUUCUCUCUAUUCCCCCCCCCAAAAUAAAUAAAUAAAUAAAUCUUUUUAAAAUGAAUUC
rnacentral:lncRNA from 12 species